CCUACGGGUGGCAGCAGUGGGGAAUAUUGGACAAUGGGGGGAACCCUGAUCCAGCCAUGCCGCGUGUGUGAAGAAGGCCCUCGGGUUGUAAAGCACUUUCAGUGAGGAAGAACGCCUGGUGGUUAAUACCCAUCAGGAAAGACAUCACUCACAGAAGAAGCACCGGCUAACUCCGUGCCAGCAGCCGCGGUAAUACGGAGGGUGCGAGCGUUAAUCGGAAUUACUGGGCGUAAAGCGCGCGUAGGUGGCUUGAUAAGACGGUUGUGAAAGCCCCGGGCUCAACCUGGGAACGGCAUCCGGAACUGUCAAGCUAGAGUGCAGGAGAGGAAGGUAGAAUUCCCGGUGUAGCGGUGAAAUGCGUAGAGAUCGGGAGGAAUACCAGUGGCGAAGGCGGCCUUCUGGACUGACACUGACACUGAGGUGCGAAAGCGUGGGUAGCAAACAGGAUUAGAUACCCCUGUAGUC
rnacentral:rRNA from 1 species